GACGAACGCUGGCGGCGUGCUUAACACAUGCAAGUCGAACGGAAAGGCCCUGCUUUUGUGGGGUGCUCGAGUGGCGAACGGGUGAGUAACACGUGAGUAACCUGCCCUUGACUUUGGGAUAACUUCAGGAAACUGGGGCUAAUACCGGAUAGGAGCUCCUGCUGCAUGGUGGGGGUUGGAAAGUUUCGGCGGUUGGGGAUGGACUCGCGGCUUAUCAGCUUGUUGGUGGGGUAGUGGCUUACCAAGGCUUUGACGGGUAGCCGGCCUGAGAGGGCGACCGGCCACAUUGGGACUGAGAUACGGCCCAGACUCCUACGGGAGGCAGCAGUGGGGAAUAUUGCACAAUGGGCGGAAGCCUGAUGCAGCAACGCCGCGUGCGGGAUGACGGCCUUCGGGUUGUAAACCGCUUUCGCCUGUGACGAAGCGUGAGUGACGGUAAUGGGUAAAGAAGCACCAGCUAACUACGUG
rnacentral:rRNA from 1 species